ensembl:lncRNA
CAUGACUUCAGUACUCUCCAGCAUUUGAACUCACGCCAGCAUUUGAACAGUCACCUUGCUAGGUGGCCCCAGUGGGAAUUAAACCAACAACCACAGGUGUUGUUUGCAAGUUGUACCUGAUUGCCCAGUGCGAGCAAACGUCUUCAACAUUGUCCCAACUUGCUUCACCUGCCCUUGAAGUGAGCCACUUUCACCCGAAGCUACAAAAUGAAAGGCAUAUGGAUUGGCAUCGGGCCGGCUGGCUGUCAGCUGCAGAAGGCGCCAGGGGUCGGGUCGCACAAACAGCACGUGGCCACAUUGAGAGGUAAGCAUGUUCUUAAGAGUGGGAGAGUAUAGCACUCACCUGCUAGGAGGAGUAUUGAGGAGUAAGUCAAGGAGUGUCUAGGUGGAGACAGAAUUGUGUUAAAUUGUCUUGUGUCACGGAGAAGGGAGUCUGAGAAAGAGGAGGAGUAGAUAGAAGUGUUGAAGAGAAAUGUUGCGUUGUUUGCUACCAAAGUGAGGCAAGCUGAGAAAGGUGGGAGCAGAGAGAGUUGGGGUGAAAUGAGUUGUUUGAGUGAAAGGAGUUGUUAAUAAAUGGGAAGAGUAGGUCGGAGAAUGUGGUAUGAGAAGAAGGACAGGCUAAGAAUAUGCAGAAAGUUUGUCCCAGAGAAGUAUAAAGUGAGUGCGAGUAGAAUCACAAUCAUUACAUUUUCAUUGUCCAUAAUAACAGAAAGAGAGAAUGUAAUUCGGCA